GUGGGUAAUCUACCUCCAAGUUGGGGAUAACCCGCCGAAAGGCGGGCUAAUACCGAAUGUGAUACUCUGGCGCAUGUCGGGGAUAUCAAAGAUGGGGAGCCGCAAGGUCCUGUCGCUUGUUGAGGAACCCGCGUCCUAUCAGCUUGUUGGUAGGGUAACGGCCUACCAAGGCUUACGGGUAGCUGGUCUGAGAGGAUGGUCAGCCACACUGGGACUGAGACACUGCCCAGACUCCUACGGGAGGCUGCAGUCGAGGAUCAUUCGCAAUGCGCGAAAGCGUGACGAUGCGACGCUGCGUGGAGGAUGAAGGCCUUCGGGUUGUAAACUCCUGUCGUUUGGGAACAAUUCUUGGAGGGUGAAUACCCCUUCAAGUUGAUAGUACCAGAGGAGGAAGCCACGGCUAACUCCGUGCCAGCAGCCGCGGUAAUACAGAGGUGGCGAGCGUUGUUCGGAUUUACUGGGCGUAAAGGGUGCGUAGGUGGUUUCGUGUGUCGGAUGUGAAAUCUCACCGCUUAACAGUGAAACUGCAUUCGAAACUGCGGGACUGGAGUACAGGAUAGGAGAGCGGAAUUCUUGGUGUAGCGGUGAAAUGCGUUGAUAUCAAGAAGAACACCGGUGGCGAGGGCGGCUCUCUGGAAUGCUACUGACACUGAGGCACGAAAGUUGGGGGAGCAAACAGGAUUAGAUACCCUGGUAGUCCCAACCCUAAACGGUGUACACUUGGUGUGGGGAGAUUUGACCCUCUCCGUGCCGGAGCUAACGCGAUAAGUGUACCGCCUGGGGAGUACGGCCGCAAGGUUAAAACUCAAAGAAAUUGACGGGGGCCCGCACAAGCGGAGGAGCAUGUGGCUUAAUUCGAUGCAACGCGAAGAACCUUACCAGGGCUUGACAUGCAGCUGCAAGUCCCGUGAAAGCGGGAUGCCUUCGAGGGUGCUGCACAGGUGCUGCAUGGCUGUCGUCAGUUCGUGCCGUGAGGUGUUGGGUUAAGUCCCGCAACGAACGCAACCCCUGUGUUUAGUUGCCACCGCAGGUGAUGAGCCUGCGAGCACUCUAAACAGACUGCCCGUGAUAAGCGGGAGGAAGGUGGGGAUGACGUCAAGUCAGUAUGGCCUUUAUGCCCUGGGCUGCACACGUGCUACAAUGGUCGGUACAGAGAGAAGCAAGACCGCGAGGUGGAGCAAAUCUCCAAAAACCGGCCCCAGUUCAGAUUGAAGUCUGCAACUCGACUUCAUGAAG
rnacentral:rRNA from 1 species